rnacentral:pre_miRNA from 1 species
ACUGGACAAAAUUAAAAUGCUCUUCUGUCAUUGUAAUAGUUCAUAUGGGCUCUGACAGGAGGGCAUUUUAACUUUGUCAAGU